UUGAAACCGGAGCGCUAGCUUCGGUGGAGGCGCUGGUGGGAUACCGCCCUGACUGUAUUGAAAUUCUAACCUACGGGUCUUAUCGACCCGGGAGACAGUGUCAGGUGGGCAGUUUGACUGGGGCGGUCGCCUCCUAAAGUGUAACGGAGGCGCCCAAAGGUUCCCUCAGAAUGGUUGGAAAUCAUUCGUAGAGUGCAAAGGCAUAAGGGAGCUUGACUGCGAGACCUACAAGUCGAGCAGGGACGAAAGUCGGGCUUAGUGAUCCGGUGGUUCCGCAUGGAAGGGCCAUCGCUCAACGGAUAAAAGCUACCCCGGGGAUAACAGGCUUAUCUCCCCCAAGAGUCCACAUCGACGGGGAGGUUUGGCACCUCGAUGUCGGCUCAUCGCAUCCUGGGGCUGUAGUCGGUCCCAAGGGUUGGGCUGUUCGCCCAUUAAAGCGGUACGCGAGCUGGGUUCAGAACGUCGUGAGACAGUUCGGUCCCUAUCCGUCGUGGGCGUAGGAAAUUUGAGAGGAGCUGUCCUUAGUACGAGAGGACCGGGAUGGACGCACCGCUGGUGUACCAGUUGUUCUGCCAAGGGCAUAGCUGGGUAGCUAUGUGCGGAAGGGAUAAGUGCUGAAAGCAUCUAAGCAUGAAGCCCCCCUCAAGAUGAGAUUUCCCAUAGCGUAAGCUAGUAAGAUCCCUGAAAGAUGAUCAGGUUGAUAGGUUCGAGGUGGAAGCAUGGUGACAUGUGGAGCUGACGAAUACUAAUAGAUCGAGGACUUAACCAUAUAA
rnacentral:rRNA from 1 species